rnacentral:rRNA from 1 species
CCUACGGGAGGCAGCAGUGAGGAAUAUUGGUCAAUGGCCGAGAGGCUGAACCAGCCAAGUCGCGUGAGGGAAGACGGCCCUACGUGUUGUAAACCUCUUUUGUCGGGGAGCAAAGCGAGUCACGUGUGACUCAUUGAGAGUACCCGUAGGAAAAGCAUCGGCUAACUCCGUGCCAGCAGCCGCGGUAAUACGGGGGAUGCGAGCGUUAUCCGGAUUUAUUGGGUUAAAGGGGUGCGCAGGCGGAGGUGCAAGUCAGCGGUCAAAUUGCGGGGCUCAACCCCGUACUGCCGUUGAAACUGCAUGCCUUGAGUGCGCGAGAAGUAAGCGGAAUGCGUGGUGUAGCGGUGAAAUGCAUAGAUAUCACGAAGAACUCCGAUUGCGAAGGCAGCAUACCGGCGCGCAACUGACGCUCAUGCACGAAAGCGUGGGUAUCGAACAGGAUUAGAUACCCCUGUAGUC